GGAGCGGAUGGAGCCGACGUAUCUGGUGCGUAUUCAAUCGCUCGCGACGGCAAUCGUCUGUUCAGCAUUCCGCAAGGUUGUUGAGCGGGCGUUCGUUUGUCGGCGUGGACGAUGCACUUGCGUACGGAGUGCGCCGAGUGGGUUGACGGUGUCGUCGGAGGCGCGUUUAGAGGACUUGGCGUGGCAACACGUCGAGAACCCUGAACGUGCGGAAGGCGAGCGUCGUUGGCUUGUUGCUUGUGGGACGGGUGAAUUCGUGGGCGUGCGUUGCGGUGCGGGUAACUCGUGUACGACACAUGUGUCGUGCGCUUGCUUCUCGUAUCGUGUGCGUUCGUCUGCCCUCGUUCUCGACUCGGUGUAUAGUCGGUCACCCAUUUGACCCGUCUUGAAACACGGACCAAGGAGUUUAAGGUGUACGCGAGUCAUUGAGCUUAUUGUCGAAACUCAACGGCGUAAUGAAAGUGAGACUCUUGGAGUCGACGAUGUGAACGGGGCGCGUUUCGACGUUCUUCGUGCAACAUCGCCCCGUGACUUGGACUUGUCCUGUUGCGGAGGUUGAGCGUACGCUUUGAGACCCGAAAGAUGGUGAACUAUGCCCGAACAGGAUGAAGCCAGAGGAAACUCUGGUGGAAGUCCGAAGCGGUUCUGACGUGCAAAUCGAUCGUCUGAUUUGGGUAUAGGGGCGCAAGACUAAUCGAACCAUCUAGUAG
rnacentral:rRNA from 1 species